UACGGAGGAUGCAAGCGUUAUCCGGAAUGAUUGGGCGUAAAGCGUCCGCAGGUGGCUAUGUAAGUCUGCUGUUAAAGAGUCUGGCUCAACCAGAUAAAGGCAGUGGAAACUACAUGGCUAGAGUGCGUUCGGGGCAGAGGGAAUUCCUGGUGUAGCGGUGAAAUGCGUAGAGAUCAGGAAGAACACCGGUGGCGAAAGCGCUCUGCUAGGCCGCAACUGACACUGAGGGACGAAAGCUAGGGGAGCAAACAGG
rnacentral:rRNA from 1 species